UCACGUUCCCUAUUAGUGGGUGAACAAUCCAACGCUUGGUGAAUUCUGCUUCACAAAGAUAGGAAGAGCCGACAUCGAAGGAUCAAAAAGCGACGUCUGCACUCCAGUCA